UACGUAUGGAGCAAGCGUUAUCCGGAUUUACUGGGUGUAAAGGGAGCGCAGGCGGCUUUGCAAGUCUGAUGUGAGAGGCCGGGGCUCAACCCCGGGACUGCAUUGGAAACUGUAAAGCUAGAGUGCCGGAGAGGUAAGCGGAAUUCCUAGUGUAGCGGUGAAAUGCGUAGAUAUUAGGAGGAACACCAGUGGCGAAGGCGGCUUACUGGACGGCAACUGACGCUGAGGCUCGAAAGCGUGGGGAGCAAACAGG
rnacentral:rRNA from 1 species